rnacentral:misc_RNA from 1 species
UGGAGACAGAGGGCUUUGCAGG